ACUUUUGGUGGAGGCACCAAACUCAUCGUUGACUUGGGAGUGGUGCAGCCCACGCUGAGCGUCCUCCCUCCCUCCAGAGUGGAGCUGGAGCAGGGCAGUGCUACACUAGUGUGUGUGGCCAGUGGGGGCUUCCCCUCAGACUGGAAGCUUGGCUGGAAGGUGGGGGGCAGCAGCAGGUCUGGGGGGGUGUCAGAUAGCCUGGGGGUCCUGGGGAAAGAUGGCCACUACAGCUGGAGCAGCACCUUGACCCUCCCUGCAGACCAGUGGAGGAAGGCGGGCUCAGUGAGCUGUGAGGCCAGUAAGAACGGCCAGACGCAGCCUGUCACUCAAACCCUGAAUCCUGGAGAGUGUUCAGAGUAGAGAGGCUCCAGCAUGGAAGAACUGGAGGAUACAGAUCUCCUCUGACACGUCUGCUUUAUGUCUCUGUCUAAGGUGGUGCGGUAGCUUUUGAUGAUUUACAUUAAUAUAACAUCAUCCUUUCUGGUUUUUACCCCUUGGUUGUG